AUUGAACGCUGGCGGCAGGCCUAACACAUGCAAGUCGAAUGGUAACAGAAAGCAGCUUGCUGCUUUGCUGACGAGUGGCGGACGGGUGAGUAAUGUCUGGGAAACUGCCUGAUGGAGGGGGAUAACUACUGGAAACGGUAGCUAAUACCGCAUAACGUCGCAAGACCAAAGAGGGGGACCUUCGGGCCUCUUGCCAUCGGAUGUGCCCAGAUGGGAUUAGCUAGUAGGUGGGGUAAAGGCUCACCUAGGCGACGAUCCCUAGCUGGUCUGAGAGGAUGACCAGCCACACUGGAACUGAGACACGGUCCAGACUCCUACGGGAGGCAGCAGUGGGGAAUAUUGCACAAUGGGCGCAAGCCUGAUGCAGCCAUGCCGCGUGUAUGAAGAAGGCCUUCGGGUUGUAAAGUACUUUCAGCGGGGAGGAAGGGAGUAAAGUUAAUACCUUUGCUCAUUGACGUUACCCGCAGAAGAAGCACCGGCUAACUCCGUG
rnacentral:rRNA from 1 species